ACGAACGCUGGCCGCGUGCUUAACACAUGCCAGUCGAACGGAAAGGCCCUGCUUUUGUGGGGUGCUCGAGUGGCGAACGGGUGAGUAACACGUGAGUAACCUGCCCUUGACUUUGGGAUAACUUCAGGAAACUGGGGCUAAUACCGGAUAGGAGCUCCUGCUGCAUGGUGGGGGUUGGAAAGUUUCGGCGGUUGGGGAUGGACUCGCGGCUUAUCAGCUUGUUGGUGGGGUAGUGGCUUACCAAGGCUUUGACGGGUAGCCGGCCUGAGAGGGUGACCGGCCACAUUGGGACUGAGAUACGGCCCAGACUCCUACGGGAGGCAGCAGUGGGGAAUAUUGCACAAUGGGCGGAAGCCUGAUGCAGCAACGCCGCGUGCGGGAUGACGGCCUUCGGGUUGUAAACCGCUUUCGCCUGUGACGAAGCGUGAGUGACGGUAAUGGGUAAAGAAGCACCGGCUAACUACGUG
rnacentral:rRNA from 1 species